GUCUUCAGCUGCAAAGACCGGUUGUAGGACCCAACAGUCAUGCGUGCGUCGCAUGAAUUUUAAAUAUAGCUCCGACUAUGCUAAGCGAUAUUGAGAUUAAUAAGGAAGAUGUAGUAGAUAACGCUAAAGUUGCAGAAGAAGAUAGACAAGAUGGGAGUGCGAAUGGUAAAUGUGACGAGAAGCAUUCUGAACAUAAAAACCUAGAAGAUUGCUAUAAUGAUAUUUCCUGUGAAUGCCAAUCCUGCAGGAAAGUAAGACGGUGAAGGACACCCCAACAGCAGGACUCCAGCAUCCUACAUAUGUAGUUACACCAAAGGACACCCCCAUAAAUGGACUCAAGCAUCCUAUAUAUGUAAUUACACCAAAGGACACACCCACAGCUGGACUCAUGCAUCCUACAUAUGCAGUUACACCAAAGGACACCCCAACAGCAGGACUCCAGCAUCCUACUUAUGUAGUUACACCAAAGGACACCCCCAUAACUGGACUCAAGCAUCCUACAUAUGUAGUUACACCAAAGAACACCCCUACAACUGGACUCAAGCAUCCUACAUAUGUAGUUACACCAAAGCACACACCCACAGCUGGACUCACGCAUCCGACAUAUGCAGUUACACCAAAUGACACCCCUACAACUGGACUCCAGCAUCCUACAUAUGUAGUCACACCAAAGGACACCCCAAUAACUGGACUCAAGCAUCCUACAUAUGUAGUUCCACCAAAGGACACCCCUGCAACUGGACUCAAGCAUCCUACAUAUGUAGUUGCACCAAAGAACACCCCCACAGCUGGAUUCAAGCCUCCUGUAUAUGU